GACGAACGCUGGCGGCGUGCUUAACACAUGCAAGUCGAACGGAAAGGCCUGCUUUCCCUUGUGGUUUGCGGGUACUCGAGUGGCGAACGGGUGAGUAACACGUGAGUGAUCUGCCCCCAACUUGGGUAUAAGCCUGGGAAACUGGGUCUAAUUCCCGAUAGGACUGCAGGGUGGUGCCUGUGGUGGAAAACGAUUUUCUAGUGGUUGGGGAUGAGCUCGCGGCCUAUCAGCUUGUUGGUGGGGUAAUGGCCUACAAAGGCGGCGACGGGUAGCCGGCCUGGGAGGGGGACGGGCAAAAUGGGAACUGGGUAAGGCCCAAAACUCUUACGGAAGGAGGAAUUGGGGAUAAUGGGCCAAGGGCGGAAGCCUGAUGCAGCGACGCCGCGUGGGGGAUGACGGCCUUCGGGUUGUAAACUCCUUUCGACCGCGAGGAAGCCACCUGGUUGGAAGGGUGGUGACGGUAGUGGUAGAAGAAGCACCGGCUAACUACGUG
rnacentral:rRNA from 1 species